AAGCUUACCCUCUACGGUCCUCCACCAGGACAGAAGGCCUUCCUCGUCCUGCAAAUGAAUCAUUUUCAACCUAUCAGAAUCUUAGAAACGCUCCUUCAUUCAGGCUGUGUACCAUCGUGCUGACUGCAGACCAUCAGAUCCUCCACAGUCUUUGAGGCCACGCAACAUUGUCUGGCCAAUACACUGACAGCCACAGGCCUGUUGUCAGUGUGUUUUCCUGCACUCCUGCCUCUACGUUCCUCUUCCAGUCUCCUUGCUGACCUGCCCCUCCCCCUUAAUCAAAGGAUUGGCUUCACCUGCUUGAUGCCUUUAAACACUGGAUGGCUCUCUUUUUCUCGCUCCUGGAAGUCUGGAGCCUUUCAGGCAUCUACCUUGGUUUGGUUUUGGCUGA